CCAGGCCUUAGACAACUUGGUGGCAGUGGCUAUUAUCCGAACCUGUGUCAUGGCAGAUGCUGAAAGAGAGGAGCCAAAAAACAUCUAUUCAAUAGUUACCUUCAAAGAAUGGAAAAGGUCCCCUGCUUCCUGUCCGCGUUCCCACAGCUGCUGAGGGCCACAGCUCCCGCCUGUGCACAGAGGGUCCUUGCUGUGUGUACGAGAUGGUGGCUCCCUGCGCCAUGUGGCAGAUGUUCAGCAUCAGGAAUCAAAACAGCUUUCACACCACGCAGCACAUUCUUCUUCCAGUCCCGUUCAUUUCCUCUCGGUGAAACUGAGAAGUGGACAGAGGAGGCCAGAGACCGCAUGGAGCUUCCUGAGUCUUGA
rnacentral:lncRNA from 1 species